GAGGAUCCUGUAGCCUCAGAGUGGUCAUAUUUGUGGUGGGCUUCAGUCAUCACAUCUGAUAAAAUGAGAGGGAAGUCAUAUAAGAAGCACCAAUAAUGCUGAGUUAGAAUAGGGAAAAAGAAACAUAAUACUUUGAGUGCUUAUGAUGUGCCAGGCCUUAUUCUUUGCAUAGACAAUGCAAUCCUGAAAACAAUGCCAUGAGAGUGAUACAGAUAAUGGGAGCAAAGGGAGCCUGUCAAAGGUCACAGAGCUAGGUAAGUUAGAGCUGACUCAAAUAGGCAUUCUCCAUAGCAGUGUACUGCCUCUAAAUUUAAUUUAGGCCAACAAAUAACCUUGUAAGAUAGACAUGGUUUUCUCUAUUUUACAGGUCAGAAAACAGGCUCAGAAAAUUUAGAAAACUAUACAGAAUCACACAGAGCCCCAUACCCAACUUUUAUCUGACUCCAAAACAGGUGUGGAUCCAGGCUAUAUAAGGCCUAAAACUUUCCCAUUUUAGAGGCACCCUUUUAAGAAAAUGUAUAAAAUUAAGCACAGGGUCUUGGAGAGACCAAUCCAAGUGAGGGGUCCUAAAACUGAAGCUGCAUUUGCUUCUUCAGAAAUCCACCUCUGUCCAAUCUGUUCUGACAAUAGAAUAAGCACCAUGACCUCAGAAAAUAUGUAGCACAAUCCUGGGUACUUUACAUCUAUCAUUGCUAAUCCCUGCAACCCUACAAGAUAGAACUUAUUGUCCUAUUUUACAGACGAACCUGGAGCUUAAGGAAGUUAAAUAACCUGUCUGAUACUGCAGAUCUAGCCAUGGCAAUUAUAGAAUCUGAUCCAAGGAAUUUUUCCCAUUAAAAUCCUUGCUAUUUUCAGUCUACUAAGCUAUGGCAAAACUGAAAUCAAUUUUGGUUUGGAAGUUAUUCUCUAUGCAGAUAUUGACUUUUUUUUUUCCGAAUACUGCCCUGCAUCUGAGCCUCCUGGUGCACUUUAAAUAUGGGUCCAUUCAUCACCAUUAACAGUUUUCUUGGUGUCUGUCACUCCAGGGUAAUCUUCUCCUUGUUCCCUUGCCUUAUUCAGAGACAGUGCUGAGAUUUAAGCUGCUCAUUCAUUCUCAGAGACUACUUCAACGCUACCUCCAUAUCAAGAUGGUUCUCUUGCUCUGUUUCUACUAUUACUUCUAACUCCAGCUCACAGGCUUUUCUUAUAACCCUAGGAACAGCAAGCUCUACCAAAGCAAGGUCUCCUCUGCUUCCUCAGACUGCCGACCAGUGCUGAGAACAGGGACACUGAAUAUCUGUGAGCUGAGCGCAUCCAGCCAUCAACUGACUCACUCACUGAAGAACGCUACAUUCUGGGCAUAUCUUCCAUGACAGUCCAGCAGGGUAGCUGUUGGAAAUCCAAACAUGUCCACUCCUGCUUACGACCUCAGUCACCACCUCUUCAUAUGAUUCUUCCAUGGGCUGUUCCUGAGCACCUGAGGGAGAAAAACAAACAGAAACAAACAGGAAAGGGCAGAAUAAUUGAUAUGUGAGAAGGAAAAAGUCAACAGUUGUUGAGACAUAAGUGAAUGUAAGAAACCUAGAUUGUUUGACAUAAUGUCAGUUACUAAAAUAUCACUGCAAAAUGGGCCCAAAGGUACCAGGACCACACACAAAUGAGUCUAGGAGGAAGCAGGAUGUGGGAAAGCAGAGAACACAUAAACAUAUAUCUCUUCCUGCCAAUCCCAAGUUAAUAGUCACUCCUGUUUACACUUUGGUCUUGGCAUGUAAUUGGGAUCUUCCAUUUUGGUUCCCCACCUAACCACCUACUACUUUCUUCCCUCCAAGCCCCAGAGGAAUUCAGAAUCUAAGAAAACAACAUUUCAGCCUUCAUGAUUGGUUGGAGCCAAUCAGCUCUCCAGUUAUCUGUAGUUACAAAGACUUAACAAGAGAGUCCAUUUGUUACCACUGAACAAUUCUUAGGAGGCUCCAGACCCAGACUCGCCUUUCUCUUGCUCUUGAAGAUACAAGAAUACCAGUUCUGACCAAGUGUAAACACUUGUCAAUUCUUGGAAAAGAAAGACCUACUCUGGACUCCAAGCCCAAGGCACUCCAACUAGGUUAAGUAACUUGCCCAGAAACCCACAGAAAAUAAGGAGUCAAAGUGGAGCAAAGGUUCAAAUCCAAGACUUUCUGGAUCCAAAAUGUAUGCUCUUACAUUAGACAGUUGUCUAGUUCCUAAUCACUAAAGAGCUGGUCAGAAUGCUUAUAAAAUUGAACAGAAAGGAAGAGAGUUUGACCAGAUUGAAGUGCUCUUUCAGAUCCUAGGAAUCCUCUUGUAUGUGCUCUAAAUUAUUUUUUAAUUUUUUUAAAAUUCUGAGUCAAGAUUUUGCUCUGUUGCCCAGGCUGGAGUACAGUGACUCAAUUACAGCUUGCUGUGACUUUGAACUCCUGGACUCAACGGAUCCUCCCACUUCAGCCUCCCAAAUAACUAGGACUACAGCACCUGGUUCUUCUUGACAACUGCACAUUCUGCUACAUGCUGUGAUGACCAGGAGAAUCAUUUAAAUUUUUAUUUGGAGGACUCACUUCCAACUUGGAACACAAGCUGCAAAGGAAUUCCCUACCAGCAUGCCAGCACAUCAUUUGGAAGUUCAAGGUAUUCUUGCUCAACAGCUGCACACACAUUAAAAGUCCCUGGGGUACAUGGCGCCUGCUGCCUGGGGUUGGACUCUGUCGCCGGGGAUUCCAGAAAUUAGAGUAGAAUUCACAGCUCUGCCUCUCCACCUGCUGUGAGGUCUUCAAGUUACAACUCCGCCGCCUAUCAGGGACCUCCGUGAUUAGUAAGGGAGAAAUUGUCAUAUUUUUCUCCCUAGAUCACAGGUCUGAGGAAGCAGUUUCCCCAAGAUUUUGUAAAAGUGGCUUUAUAAUUAAAAACAUUGAUUUUCCUAUUAGAAAGGCUACUAUAUCCUUUGGAAAAAGCUUAGAAGUAGUCCGUGAGUCUUGGCUUCUUGCCGUGGCUCCCCCAGGAUAUGAUCUUGGGCGAGUAACCCAGCAGCCCUGACUCUGCUUCCCCACUUAUUAAACAGGUUACUAACACUGUCCUAUCAGGUAGGACAAUGAGAAGGAAAGAACCAAACAAGAGGAGUAUCAGACGAGACCACCAGACUUAAGAUCUAAAAUCCGGCGUCCUCUGGAGGGCGGAUGAGAAGAGGGGUACACUUGGCGGUCUGGAAAAUGUCCUGGGGCCAGUUUCAGGUUUAGGAGCUUGUGGGUAGCGUGGUUUCCCACACGCUGCCUGGCUUCCUACUCUCCCCCGCAGGGGCUGCCUCUCCUCCCACCCCGGAAGGCCGGCACCGGCUUCCCGCACUCGCUGAAGCCCGCACGGAGGCCGGGUGAGCCUGCCGCGGCCUCCCCCUCCCACGCCCCGACGCCAUGGGCCCUGCUCCUCUCCGCAGACGCUGCCCUCCCGCCUCAGGCCCCGGGCCCCGGGCACCGGGCCCGCCCUGCGUCCUGAACCUCGGCAUCCCGCUCUCCGGUCCACGGGACCCUGCUCUGCGGACCGCCGACCUCUCCGCUCGCGGCUGGCCUCCCUCGGGGCCCGGGCCGGCCAGGCCUGCUCAUUUCCUUGGCGGCCGCUGGCAUAAGGCGGCCACACGGAGGGCCCGGGACAGCGGUCUGAUGGCGCAGCCCCGCCUUGCCCCGGCGCUCUGACCCGGCCAGCGGCCUCACUCACCGCAGCGGCGCGUGCCCGCAGACAAAGGCCGGCGCCGAGCCCGCAGCAGCGCCAGCGCCGGCGCCGGCGGAAUGGACUACAACUCCCAGGAGUCUCCCCGCGAGCCCGCCCGCCGGGCCGUGGGUCUCGGCGGCCCCGGCUUCCCAAGAGCUCUGUGGGAAAUGUAGUUCUCUGGCGCGCCCUGCGCUCGGGCCCCGCAGGUCCCUAGGGCGCGGGGACCUCAAGCCGUCCCGUUUGGACUGGUAAUCCGGAGACUCACAGCGGUGACCUGUCAGCGGACGCGGAGCCGGGACGGAGCCACGGCCGCUCAGAUUAGCAGGAUCUGAUUGACAGCAUCGGGGUAGCAGACGCUGAGCCAGGGACUCAGGAAUACAGGGUUCUUGCAGGGCGUCGCGGAAGGAAACGAAGUUUUUGGGAGAAAUCCGUUUGAUAAAGCCUUGGCGGCUUCGAGGUCAUGUGUUGAGCCUCUGGCUGCAUGAACAAAAGCGAAGCCCGCUUUCAUGGAGCUUCUGUGAAGAGCAACAGGAACACAGGCAGUCCAGUCGUCCUGAGAUACUGGGAGGAGCAUGGUUGCUUUUGAACACGUAGGAGAUAAAGCCUCUCUAAUAAUGCCUGUUUUUUUUUUUCCUUCACUCUGUCUCCCAGGCUUGAGUGCAGUGGCACGGUGUCGCCUCACUGCAACCUCCGCCUUCUGGGCUCAAGUGAUUCUCCUGCCCCAGCCUCCCAAGUAGCUGGGACUACAGGUCUGUGCCACCAUGCCUGGCUAAUUUUUUUGUAUUUUUAGUAGAGAUGAAGGUUUUACCAUGUUGGCCAGGCUGUCUGAUAUGCCUUAAGCCUCUUUUAAACGCACUUUUCCAGGAUCGGGGCCACAUCCUGGAGCUGUUCUGCCUGGCCGGGUGUAUCUCUGGGUCCCUGCCUCUGGAGCCCCUCUCCGUAGAUGUGUCUGUCCAUCCUCUUUCGUGAAGGACUAAUAAAGAAUGCUUCCUCUUGC
rnacentral:lncRNA from 1 species